rnacentral:lncRNA from 1 species
UGCCCCAUCCAAUUUCCCUCUAAUCCCACCUCCACAUCUCCCUCUAGGCCCUCACCUCAUUUCUCUCUGUCCCUCUGACUUUCCUCCAUGUGGGGCUUGGUUGCACUUUCCCAACUGCCUGACUUUCCUCUAGUGGAAAGCUAGAAUUCUCUCUAAUCUAACCGCCUGAAUCCCCCAUUGUGUUGAUGCCCGAUUUCCUUCUAACCUGCCAAUGAAGGUCCCCUGGGCCUCACUACCGUAUUAUUACUGCUGUAGCCGUAGCCUGCUUGCCAGAGAGCCCUGUCAUCUGACUCUGUUUUCAUUAAACUGAUGCGCCUCAGUCAUCGCUGCUGAGUUCUUUUCCUCCCUGUUGCCUUAUUUCGUUCCAGUUCUGUCUCCUGAUUCUCUUUUAUCUCUCUGGCCUGGUUUCAAUUUAUCCUUAUCUUUUCCAUUUCCUUUUAUCU